rnacentral:rRNA from 1 species
AUGAACGCUGGCGGCGUGUCUAAGGCAUGCAAGUCGAAUGGGUUUAGACCCAUGGCAAACGGGUGAGUAACACAUUGGUAACUUACCUCGAAGUUCGGCAUAACCCUCCGAAAGGAGGAAUAAUACCGAAUGUGGUCACUGGACAAAUGUCUGGUGAGUAAAGAUUUAUCGCUUCGAGAGAGACCUAUGGCUUAUCAGCUAGUUGGUGAGGUAACGGCCCACCAAGGCAAUGACGAGUAGCGGGUGUGAGAGCACGACCCGCCUCACUGGGACUGAGACACUGCCCAGACUCCUACGGGAGGCUGCAGUCAAGAAUAUUCCACAAUGGACGAAAGUCUGAUGGAGCGACGCCGCGUGACUGAUGACGCCCUUCGGGGUGUAAAGGUCUUUUAUUAGGGAAGAACUUUUGACGGUACCUAAUGAAUAAGGGGUUGCUAACUCUGU